AUUUCAAUAAAUGUGCAAUUAUUUGUCAAUUGUUUCUCAGUUACAUUUUUAACAUUUCAAAUGAGGAAUAUAAUCUCACAUCAAUGGUAUCACAAAGUUAGCUGUUGAACAAAUCAAACCAGAAUUGAGUUUAUUAAAUUCAUUCACAAUAUGUGCACUCACAAAUAUUUGGUUUAGCUACAUAUAUUUUGCAUUUCAUAACUGAGGAGUCAAGUUUUUUUUUUUUUUUUAACAUUUAGUGCCUGUGAACAUAAACCCUGUCUACUUUGAUUUGAUUGGCCAUCACAAGCACUUUGACAUUGAUGAGCGCUGUAAGACCGCUGAGACAUCUCAUAUGAGAAGAUCUAUCUUGGCUUUGUAUCCUUGCAGCACCAGAGCAGAAUUGAUAUAUGGCCACCCCGAUAAUGAGAUGGGAUUCAAACCAGCGAAGUGAAAUCCCUGUGAUGCCCAGUGAUGAGAGGGCAGACAGGAGGAUCUGAUGAUUCAGUGUCAAAAGCAGCAGACAGAUCCAGCAGAAUGAGAAUGAUGAUUUGGAAUCAGCUUUCGCAAUCCUCAAGUGUUUGCGCUAUGACUGGAAGGAGAGAGAUAGUUAAAGUAUCUGCAGUAUGUUUUCAACAAGCAGAAACUCGCAUGUGAGGCCCGUUGGCCAGUAAUAGAAUCAGAGAGCAAUGUGUGUUGUCUGGAGAGGACGCAUGGAUGAAGACAGAGGAUCUGCUCCAUUACCAGGGGAAU
ensembl:lncRNA